AUGGGCGGAUGCAGCUCCCUAUAUACAACUCGGUCACCAUGGGGAUGGGCUGGGGCCUUUUCCUGUUGGUCCAGACCCCUCGGUCUGCCCGGAGAAGCCACGACAGAGAGUGGUGAUUGGUGCAAGCAACAUGGGAUGAGACUCUUCUACAGUGUAGAGAGCGGCUCACGAAAAUUCAGCUGCGGCUCCAUCUGCUGGCCGCGCCGCGCCCUGCGAGGCCCUGUCCGGGAAGGAGAGGUGUCGGCUUGCAGGUGAAGAAGGCCCGGCCUUUUGCCCAGGAAAGGCUCUGGCACCAAGGUAGCGUUCACAUGCAGGUCUGCUUAUCUGAAAAGAGACUAAACUGACCCUCUGCAGGCAAAGGGGCUCAGUUUGGAGGAGCCCUCAGGCCUAAAUGUACUGGCAUGUGUUAUAUGGAAAUCUGGGGCUUCAGGGAAAAGAGGCACAAUUCAUUUCAUUAGACCGCUGCCUCUCUCAGGUGCAGGGCUGAAAACGAAAACUGUAUUUUUCAUCAAGGCACGCAGGGAAGUAUCAGGGACAGAAGUCAAAAUGUAUUUGUUUU
rnacentral:lncRNA from 1 species